rnacentral:rRNA from 1 species
CACGUAGGGGCCAAGCGUUGUCCGGAUUUAUUGGGCGUAAAGAGCUCGUAGGCGGUGUGUCGCGUCGGCCGUGAAAACCUGCAGCUUAACUGUGGGCGUGCGGUCGAUACGGGCAUCACUGGAGUUCGGCAGGGGAGACUGGAAUUCCUGGUGUAGCGGUGAAAUGCGCAGAUAUCAGGAGGAACACCGGUGGCGAAGGCGGGUCUCUGGGCCGAUACUGACGCUGAGGAGCGAAAGCGUGGGGAGCAAACAGG